UGGGGAAUAUUGCGCAAUGGGCGAAAGCCUGACGCAGCGACGCCGCGUGAGGGAUGAAGGUUUUCGGAUCGUAAACCUCUGUCAGAAGGGAAGAAACCGCACUGUGCUAAUCAGCAGUGCCUUGACGGUACCUUCAAAGGAAGCACCGGCUAACUCCGUGCCAGCAGCCGCGGUAAUACGGAGGGUGCAAGCGUUAAUCGGAAUUACUGGGCGUAAAGCGCACGUAGGCUGCUUUGUAAGUCAGGGGUGAAAUCCCACGGCUCAACCGUGGAACUGCCUUUGAUACUGCUUAGCUUGAAUCCGGGAGAGGGUGGCGGAAUUCCAGGUGUAGGAGUGAAAUCCGUAGAUAUCUGGAGGAACAUCAGUGGCGAAGGCGGCCACCUGGACCGGUAUUGACGCUGAGGUGGGAAAGCGGGGGGAGCAAACAGG
rnacentral:rRNA from 1 species